UUUUGUUCACAGAACUAACAGCACAACAAGCACAACAAAAGUUAUUGAAAUGGAACAAAUCAGAAAAAGCUUGCAAAGCAUUACAAAGAUUGUACAGUUUACCGCCCCCUAGAGGAAGAUAUUGCACUUGUUUUGACCAAGUUUGACAUUCAGAAGUUUAAAUAAAUCAAUUUAGAAUACAUACAGUUUAUGUAAAUUUAAAGGGGUGUGUCUUGUUAUUUGUUCAAAGAACUAUAGAAGAUUUCUGAGGCUGAAUCUCUGACAAAUGUCAAACGUCAAACGUUGAACCAACUUCAUAUCGGUGACUAGCAUUGUGUAUCUGAGUGAACGCAGAUCUGUUUCUCUCAGGAUCCGUUCAGCUGAAUUAUUGAGUUUGUUUGUCAUUUCUAUUCAGAGUCAGUGCUGGAUAUCAGAUUCCGUUUCAUCAUGGAGGAAACACAAACUUCCACAGAUGAAGAGUUUUCUCCAGGAUGCAGUUCAUCAGAAGAGAUCAGAAGCAGAGUCCAGCUGUUUGUCUAUGAAGAGUAACGCGUCUAUGAGUCGUAUAACAGAAUUUAAGAGUGUAGAUACAAAGACUGAUGACAGUUACAGUUCAGUUCAUCAGAAGAGAUCAGAAGCAGAGUCCAGCUGUGGGUCUGUGAGGAGUGAUUGGUCUAUGGAUCGUUCAGUAGUGUUUAAGAGUGGAGAUACACAGACUGAUCUCAGUUCAGUUCAUCAGAAGAGAUCAGAAGCAGAGUCCAGUUGUGUGUCUAUGAGGAGUGACGAGUCUAUGGGUCGUAUAACAGAAUUUAAGAGUGGAGAUACAAAGACUGACGUCAGGUACAUUUUUGUAUAAAUAUUAUUAUAGCAUUUCUUUAUCUGAUAUUUUAGCUUAAAUAGUGUUACAC
ensembl:lncRNA